CAUGAGGUGGCCAAAGUACUGGAGUUUCAGCUCAGCAUCAGUCCUUCCAAUGUGAAGAAGAAAAUCAUGAUUAAAACUAAAAUGAUAUUAACUGAAAACAAGCAGAGAUGAAAGAAGGCUCUUUUAAGGAGGAGCAUUGUAGCUACUGAUUAGUAUUUGCAUCCAGUUGGAACUUUCACAAAGGAAAUCAGCAACAGGCAAUUCUUGCUCCCUAUCAAAACUCCUUAAGCCUUCUAGAAAGAAGAGGCAUGAAUGCUACAGAUUCUUUGAAAAUUUUAAAGUCUAAGUAGUAUACUUUAUGCUACAAACUGAAUAUAUUAAACUGAGUAAUGAUGAAAAAUUA